rnacentral:rRNA from 1 species
GACGAACGCUGGCGGCGUGCCUAAUACAUGCAAGUAGAACGCUGAAGGAGGAGCUUGCUUCUCUGGAUGAGUUGCGAACGGGUGAGUAACGCGUAGGUAACCUGCCUGGUAGCGGGGGAUAACUAUUGGAAACGAUAGCUAAUACCGCAUAAUAGUAGAUGUUGCAUGACAUUUGCUUAAAAGGUGCAAUUGCAUCACUACCAGAUGGACCUGCGUUGUAUUAGCUAGUUGGUGAGGUAACGGCUCACCAAGGCAACGAUACAUAGCCGACCUGGGAGGGUGAUCGGCCAAAAUGGGAAGGAGAAACGGCCCAGACUCCUACGGGAGGCAGCAGGAGGGAAUCUUCGGCAAUGGACGGAAGUCUGACCGAGCAACGCCGCGUGAGUGAAGAAGGUUUUCGGAUCGUAAAGCUCUGUUGUAAGAGAAGAACGAGUGUGAGAGUGGAAAGUUCACACUGUGACGGUAACUUACCAGAAAGGGACGGCUAACUACGUG